ensembl:misc_RNA 7SK 7SK RNA
AUACGUUGAGGGCGAUCUGGCUGCGAUAUCUGUCACCCCAUUGAUGAAUAGGAUUGAUUCGGCUGAUCUGGCUGGCUCGGUGGGUGUCCUCUUCCUCCCUCACCACUCCAUGGACAUUCCUCCCGAAGCAGUGCACUUGGUAGAAGAGGAAGACCUUCCCCGAAGAGAGGAGGACUGGGCUUCAGUCAAGGGUAUACGAGUAGCUGUGCUCCCCUGCUAGAACCUCUAAACAAAACAAAACAAAACAAAACAAAAAAACUCCCAUUAUUCAUGUAUAACAUUAAGAAUCAGUUGUUGAGCCAU